GACGAACGCUGGCGGCGUGCUUAACACAUGCAAGUCGAGCGGAAAGGCCCUUCGGGGUACUCGAGCGGCGAACGGGUGAGUAACACGUGAGUAACCUGCCCCAGACUUUGGGAUAACUCUCGGAAACGGGGGCUAAUACCGGAUACGACACAGCUUCGCAUGGGGUCUGUGUGGAAAGUUUUUCGGUUUGGGAUGGGCUCGCGGCCUAUCAGCUUGUUGGUGGGGUGAUGGCCUACCAAGGCGACGACGGGUAGCCGGCCUGAGAGGGCGACCGGCCACACUGGGACUGAGACACGGCCCAGACUCCUACGGGAGGCAGCAGUGGGGAAUAUUGCACAAUGGGCGGAAGCCUGAUGCAGCGACGCCGCGUGAGGGAUGACGGCCUUCGGGCUGUAAACCUCUUUCAGCAGGGACGAAGCGUAAGUGACGGUACCUGCAGAAGAAGCGCCGGCCAACUACGUG
rnacentral:rRNA from 1 species